AUUGAACGCUGGCGGCAGGCUUAACACAUGCAAGUCGAGCGGAGAUGAGGUGCUUGCACCUUAUCUUAGCGGCGGACGGGUGAGUAAUGCUUAGGAAUCUGCCUAUUAGUGGGGGACAACAUUCCGAAAGGAAUGCUAAUACCGCAUACGUCCUACGGGAGAAAGCAGGGGAUCUUCGGACCUUGCGCUAAUAGAUGAGCCUAAGUCGGAUUAGCUAGUUGGUGGGGUAAAGGCCUACCAAGGCGAAGAUCUGUAGCGGGUCUGAGAGGAUGAUCCGCCACACUGAGACUGAGACACGGCCCAGACUCCUACGGGAGGCAGCAGUGGGGAAUAUUGGACAAUGGGGGGAACCCUGAUCCAGCCAUGCCGCGUGUGUGAAGAAGGCCUUAUGGUUGUAAAGCACUUUAAGCGAGGAGGAGGCUACUGAGACUAAUACUCUUGGAUAGUGGACGUUACUCGCAGAAUAAGCACCGGCUAACUCUGUGCCAGCCGCCGCGGUAACAC
rnacentral:rRNA from 1 species